ensembl:lncRNA
GUAUGCUGGAUGGUUGGGGAGAAAAAGGUCACUGAUUAAUGGGUUGGGAGCACAGAGUCAGUUUUAUGUUUGUUUUGCUUUUUGUUGUUUUGUUCGUUUGGGUUUUUCUUUCUUUCUUUUUUUCUUUUUGAAUCAACACUGAGUUUUAACGGUCAGACAAGCAUUGGGAGAUGUCGAUGUUUUUUACAAAUCAGACCGAUCCACAGAAAGCUCCUUUCACUGGUGUGCUCAGAGAGCCCUUCAUUCUGAAGACUCAGCACCACUUGGAAAACAAUCUGAAUGAAUGUGUCUCAGUGUGGGAGGCUGGGAAGUCGAGCCGGGACAGAGCUGGGCGGUUGGUGUUUAUCUUACUGCUCUCUUGAAGGGUGGUAGCCCUGAAGACAUCAGUCCCAGCCUUUCUCCCCCUGGGUUUUCCUGGGCGGAAACUGGGCUUGUGAAAAUGCUGGUGGUAAGGCCUCUGCGUGUCAGUGAGAACACCAACCCAGGAGGCAUGAUGUGAGCUGAAGUCUGGAGCAAACUCAUCCUGUAUUCCGCCAGCUCCUGCCGCCCACAUGCUGGGGGCAAUGACAGCAAGCCACAACCGCAGACCUCGUGCCGUCCCAGCCUGGAAUUCCCUGCCGGGAGCAGACGGUGCUUUCCACAGAGAUGAGACCAAGAGACCCACGGGACAGGCCUGCCCUGCCUGCCUCCACUGGGCCAAUCCCUUUGGAAUAGCCUGGAUUUUGUUGGUAUUUUGGAAUCUCUUUUGUUGAGGUCCCAAAUCUGUUUUAAUCUUUGUUCAGGAAUCUAAUUCAGAAAUUCAGACUUUCGUGUCUGCCAAGAGGUGGGUUUGGCUAUGAGAGGAAAACAGGAAAAGGCUUAAAAGUUAAUAAAGCUGGAAGAAAACAGCUUCUAUGUUAGCAGUCCAACAUCCAGAGCCUGCGCCCCUCCCCCAGCCCCAGCUGCCUUCGGAUGGGACAAGGACUCUCCCUGCACUGGAGCAGCGUGUUAAAGGUUUCUGGAGAUGGGCGGGGGGGGGCACAGGAGCGUUUCCGGGAGAUGUUGGUGGAGAGAUCUGACUGCUUUCCUUAGCGGAGCCCGGGAAUCACAUCACCUUGUAAUUACUGGCAGUAACAGCGGGGAGCUGCAAUACAGAGGAUUUGUUCUUUCAUUCAACAACUAUCCAGUGAACGUGGACCGUGUGCCAGGCAGUGUCCUAGGCUCCAGGGACGUGGCAGGGAAGAAGGCAUCCAGGUGACUGUUUCUGAGCCUCUGACAUUCUGUCAGGGGAUAGAUGAUAGGGACAGAAACAAAUAAGAAAGGUUUGACGUGGCCUGUUGGGUAUGCUUUCUACAUCUGCUUGAAACAGUCACAAGGUCCCAAAGCCAAGAACGAUGCCCCUAAAGAUGAGGAUGUUGCCUUCCCCACAUCAGCAUUUCUUUAAGGACAAGCCUUUCUUCCCAGAAACUAAGAAUUAAUGACUGACCUGCGUUAACUCACCUUGUGACCGCUGACCUGCUGACCACCGACCUGCUGUGCUCACCUUGUGACCACUGACCUCCUGUGCUAGCAAGGCAUCUUGUGACGGUAGCAAAAGAGAUAUUCCUGUCCUGUGUGAUGUAUGUUCUUUGUUCCAGACGGUGUAGAACCGCCUUGUACACCCCGCCUCCUCGGAGAGCUUCCUUCCUUGGUGGCAAAAUUCUCCUGGGCUACGGUCCUCACUCUGGCUCAUAAUAAGCUCAUCUGAAUUUUGAUUUUUAGAUUGAUUAUGGAUUAUUUGCGUCGACACCAGAUAGGGUCCGAAUCGGUCAUCCUGAAAUGGCACUGCUGGCUCCCCUCCGUGAGAAGUCCCUCAUGUCCCCCUGGGGGAAAGAGAGAGACGACUAAGAGGACCAGUGGUCCUGACAGAAGACCUGUUUAGGACAGGGAGACCUCAGAGAGCAGUGACCUUAUGACAGAGCAGAUGGCAGAGCGGAGAAUAGCAAUAGCGGAUGCCAGCUCAUGGCUUAAGAGCAGGCAGGACCAAUGACUUCACCAGCCCAUUCAGCAAUGACAGAGGCCAGUGCCCAAAGGCCAGCAAGAUACCCAAGGACAAAGCCAGAGCAGUCACAGCAUAUUUAAGAGGCACGGCCUCGCACCACUGUCCCCAUGAGUCGUGGAAACUUCCCCUGCACCCAGAUACCAUUUAGGAAGAGAAAUUCUGAGAAAUGGAGCAUUUCCCCAAAAAGGAAUGAAUAGGUGUUGUUAGGGGACUCUUCCAAACCAGAAGAGAUCCAGUUAGCAAUAAGCAGAGUGUUUAAAUUCCUCUCAAACCCAAUAUCUGGACCAAAGUGAAGACAUCUAUUGAAAAAUGAAGAAAACUUCAUUCUCUGCCUGCUCCCAAAGAAGUGUUUAAUUUUUGACCUCUG